GAGUUUGAUCAUGGCUCAGAUUGAACGCUGGCGGCAGGCCUAACACAUGCAAGUCGAGCGGUAGAGAGAAGCUUGCUUCUCUUGAGAGCGGCGGACGGUGAGUAAUGCCUAGGAAUCUGCCUGGUAGUGGGGGAUAACGCUCGGAAACGGACGCUAAUACCGCAUACGUCCUACGGGAGAAAGCAGGGGACCUUCGGGCCUUGCGCUAUCAGAUGAGCCUAGGUCGGAUUAGCUAGUUGGUGAGGUAAUGGCUCACCAAGGCGACGAUCCGUAACUGGUCUGAGAGGAUGAUCAGUCACACUGGAACUGAGACACGGUCCAGACUCCUACGGGAGGCAGCAGUGGGGAAUAUUGGACAAUGGCGAAAGCCUGAUCCAGCCAUGCCGCGUGUGUGAAGAAGGUCUUCGGACUGUAAAGCAC
rnacentral:rRNA from 1 species